AAAUUGAAGAGUUUGAUCAUGGCUCAGAUUGAACGCUGGCGGCAGGCCUAACACAUGCAAGUCGAACGGUAACAGGAAGAAGCUUGCUUCUUUGCUGACGAGUGGCGGACGGGUGAGUAAUGUCUGGGAAACUGCCCGAUGGAGGGGGAUAACUACUGGAAACGGUAGCUAAUACCGCAUAACGUCGCAAGACCAAAGAGGGGGACCUUCGGGCCUCUUGCCAUCGGAUGUGCCCAGAUGGGAUUAGCUAGUUGGUGAGGUAACGGCUCACCAAGGCGACGAUCCCUAGCUGGUCUGAGAGGAUGACCAGCCACACUGGAACUGAGACACGGUCCAGACUCCUACGGGAGGCAGCAGUGGGGAAUAUUGCACAAUGGGCGCAAGCCUGAUGCAGCCAUGCCGCGUGUAUGAAGAAGGCCUUCGGGUUGUAAAGUACUUUCAGCGGGGAGGAAGGGAGUAAAGUUAAUACCUUUGCUCAUUGACGUUACCCGCAGAAGAAGCACCGGCUAACUCCGUGCCAGCAGCCGCGGUAAUACGGAGGGUGCAAGCGUUAAUCGGAAUUACUGGGCGUAAAGCGCACGCAGGCGGUUUGUUAAGUCAGAUGUGAAAUCCCCGGGCUCAACCUGGGAACUGCAUCUGAUACUGGCAAGCUUGAGUCUCGUAGAGGGGGGUAGAAUUCCAGGUGUAGCGGUGAAAUGCGUAGAGAUCUGGAGGAAUACCGGUGGCGAAGGCGGCCCCCUGGACGAAGACUGACGCUCAGGUGCGAAAGCGUGGGGAGCAAACAGGAUUAGAUACCCUGGUAGUCCACGCCGUAAACGAUGUCGACUUGGAGGUUGUGCCCUUGAGGCGUGGCUUCCGGAGCUAACGCGUUAAGUCGACCGCCUGGGGAGUACGGCCGCAAGGUUAAAACUCAAAUGAAUUGACGGGGGCCCGCACAAGCGGUGGAGCAUGUGGUUUAAUUCGAUGCAACGCGAAGAACCUUACCUGGUCUUGACAUCCACGGAAGUUUUCAGAGAUGAGAAUGUGCCUUCGGGAACCGUGAGACAGGUGCUGCAUGGCUGUCGUCAGCUCGUGUUGUGAAAUGUUGGGUUAAGUCCCGCAACGAGCGCAACCCUUAUCCUUUGUUGCCAGCGGUUAGGCCGGGAACUCAAAGGAGACUGCCAGUGAUAAACUGGAGGAAGGUGGGGAUGACGUCAAGUCAUCAUGGCCCUUACGACCAGGGCUACACACGUGCUACAAUGGCGCAUACAAAGAGAAGCGACCUCGCGAGAGCAAGCGGACCUCAUAAAGUGCGUCGUAGUCCGGAUUGGAGUCUGCAACUCGACUCCAUGAAGUCGGAAUCGCUAGUAAUCGUGGAUCAGAAUGCCACGGUGAAUACGUUCCCGGGCCUUGUACACACCGCCCGUCACACCAUGGGAGUGGGUUGCAAAAGAAGUAGGUAGCUUAACCUUCGGGAGGGCGCUUACCACUUUGUGAUUCAUGACUGGGGUGAAGUCGUAACAAGGUAACCGUAGGGGAACCUGCGGUUGGAUCACCUCCUUA
rnacentral:rRNA from 1 species